rnacentral:rRNA from 1 species
UAGUCCACGCCGUAAACGAUGUCUACUAGCCGUUGGGGAACUUGAGUCCUUAGUGGCGCAGCUAACGCACUAAGUAGACCGCCUGGGGAGUACGGCCGCAAGGUUAAAACUCAAAUGAAUUGACGGGGCCCGCACAAGCGGUGGAGCAUGUGGUUUAAUUCGAUGCAACGCGAAGAACCUUACCAGGACUUGACAUCCUUGAAACUUUCCAGAGAUGGAUUGGUGCCUUCGGGAAUCAAGUGACAGGUGCUGCAUGGCUGUCGUCAGCUCGUGUCGUGAGAUGUUGGGUUAAGUCCCGUAACGAGCGCAACCCUUGUCCUUAGUUGCCAGCACAUUAUGGUGGGAACUCUAAGGAGACUGCCGGUGACAAACCGGGNGGAAGGUGGGGACGACGUCAAGUCAUCAUGGGCCCUUACGUCCUGGGGCUACACACGUGCUACAAUGGAACGCACAGAGGGCAGCAACCCCCGCGAGGGUGAGCGAA